UAUCGUUUUAAGUUUCUUGCUUCUUUCAUUGAAAAAUAUUUUUUUAUGGUGUCCCGGUUUGAAAAGUAAGCAAACAACAAAAUACGUCCCGAUAUAUUAGUUUAAAAGAAAAAGUUAUUUUGAUGUCACACUUUCUCAUGAAGAUAUAUAUCUCAAUAUGUGUUUUGAAUCUUCAUUUAUUAAAGAUAGUUGGUAAAGAAUCAAAAAUAGGCAGGUCUCUUGGGUAGAGAACAUUAUUUAUGUGGCCCUUUCAUUCAUAAUAAAUGUUUUAAUUGAGAUUCUUGGACCCAAGUAUAAGAGCUCCAAUUCUAUAUUAACAAGCUUUCAGUCCCAAAAUCGCUGUGCUUGGAUAAUCAUUUUGAAAGCUAAAAGUUUCUCGAUCCUUAAAAAACAAACUUACUUUAUAUCCUUAGACAUCUCAUAUCGAAAUAUGUAAGUUCGGAAAGUGAAAUAACUCGAUUCAUUUUUUUUAAAUUGAUGGUGUCUUUGUUUGUUUUUUAAAAAUAAUUGUUCCUAUUGGUGCCUAAGUAAAUGUUCCUCAAUUUUUUGUGGCAAUCUUGUCCCUCAGAAUAGUUCCAAUUCUUAAAAAAAUGUGAUUUGAUCUUUUAGUUGGAAAUAAAUAUUUUCUGAUAUAUCAACUUAAAAGUUUUUAACUUUGUUGAAACAUAAUUUCAAUAGAUGUUCCGUAUGAAAAGUGUACCAGUUGGAACACUUAAAGAGACUCAAGUAAUUGUUUCAAAGCUGAAAAAUGUGUUGUAUCUAUUUUUU
rnacentral:lncRNA from 1 species